rnacentral:rRNA from 1 species
GACGAACGCUGGCGGCGUGCUUAACACAUGCAAGUCGAACGGGCCCGCUCUCUUUUUUGGGGGUGGGUUUUGUGGCGAACGGGUGAGUAUCACGUGAGUAACCUUCCCCCUGCUCCUGGAUAACUGCUUGAAAGGGCGGCUAAUACGGGGUGUGCCGGCUGGUCCGCAUGGGCCUGGUCGGGAAGGUUUUCUUUUCGUGUGUUUUGGUUGGGGAUGGGCUCGCGGCGCAUCAGCUUGUUGGUGGGGUAUGGCCCACCAAGGCUGGGACGGCUAGCCGGCCUGGGAGGGUGGGCGGACAGACUGGGAGUGAGGCACGGCCCAGACUCCGGCGGGAGGAGGCGGUAGGGGGUAGUGCAGAAUGGGCGGAAGCCGGAUGCAGCGACGUCGCGUGAGGAAUGGAGGCCGUCGGGUUGUGAACCUCUUUCUCCGGGGGUGAAGGCCCUGUCCGUUGCGGAGGGGUUGACGGUAGCCGGGUAGGAAGCGCCGGCUAACUACGUG